CCUACGGGGGGCUGCAGUGAGGAAUAUUGGUCAAUGGACGAGAGUCUGAACCAGCCAAGUAGCGUGAAGGAUGACUGCCCUAUGGGUUGUAAACUUCUUUUAUAUGGGAAUAAAAUGUUCCACGUGUGGGAUUUUGUAUGUACCAUAUGAAUAAGGAUCGGCUAACUCCGUGCCAGCAGCCGCGGUAAUACGGAGGAUCCGAGCGUUAUCCGGAUUUAUUGGGUGUAAAGGGAGCGUAGGUGGAUAGUUAAGUCAGUGGUGAAAGUUUGCGGCUCAACCGUAAAAUUGCAGUUGAAACUGGCAGUCUUGAGUGCAGUAGAGGUGGGCGGAAUUCGUGGUGUAGCGGUGAAAUGCUUAGAUAUCACGAAGAACUCCGAUUGCGAAGGCAGUUCACUGGACUGCAACUGACACUGAGGCUCGAAAGUGUGGGUAUCAAACAGGAUUAGAUACCCGGGUAGUC
rnacentral:rRNA from 1 species